UACGUAGGGUGCGAGCGUUGUCCGGAAUUACUGGGCGUAAAGAGCUCGUAGGUGGUUUGUCGCGUUGUCCGUGAAAACUCACAGCUUAACUGUGGGCGUGCGGGCGAUACGGGCAGACUGGAGUACUGCAGGGGAGACUGGAAUUCCUGGUGUAGCGGUGGAAUGCGCAGAUAUCAGGAGGAACACCGGUGGCGAAGGCGGGUCUCUGGGCAGUAACUGACGCUGAGGAGCGAAAGUGUGGGGAGCGAACAGG
rnacentral:rRNA from 1 species